rnacentral:rRNA from 1 species
AUUGAACGCUGGCGGCAGGCCUAACACAUGCAAGUCGAACGGUAACAGGGAUCAGCUUGCUGAUUCGCUGACGAGUGGCGGACGGGUGAGUAAUGUCUGGGAAACUGCCUGAUGGAGGGGGAUAACUACUGGAAACGGUAGCUAAUACCGCAUAACGUCGCAAGACCAAAGAGGGGGACCUUCUGGCCUCUUGCCAUCGUAUGUGCCCAGAUGGGAUUAGCUAGUAGGUGGGGUAACGGCUCACCUAGGCGACGAUCCCUAGCUGGUCUGAGAGGAUGACCAGCCACACUGGAACUGAGACACGGUCCAGACUCCUACGGGAGGCAGCAGUGGGGAAUAUUGGACAAUGGGCGCAAGCCUGAUGCAGCCAUGCCGCGUGUAUGAAGAAGGCCUUCGGGUUGUAAAGUACUUUCAGCGGGGAGGAAGGGAGUAAAGUUAAUACCUUUGCUCAUUGACGUUACCCGCAGAAGAAGCACCGGCUAACUCCGUG